rnacentral:lncRNA from 1 species
AGGUUUUUAAUUGCAGCGUAGACAUAACCUUAGAAGCUGCAAGCUGCUUCCAUGGCAAACAACUUUCUUUGGCAAAAUGGUCCCUGGGCUCCCCCUAAAAUGGGAGCCACUGACAGGUCUGACCCAUUCCCCUUCCCAGGUACUCUCCGUGCCCCCACCCUCUACCUGAGCCUGAUGUCCGCCAGGCCAGGGGACUCCAUGUUGCUCCAGUGCUCCGUGUUCUCCCAGGCCCCCGCCACUCGCAUCAUCUUCUGCAAGGACGGGGGGGAGGUUUUGUUCCAGAUGGGUUCAGAAGAGAAGAUCACCUACAUCUACAACCAUACGGUGUCCAGUGGCAGCUCUGGGAAUUAUGCCUGUGGCUACGAGAUCAAGGACAGCAACAACCGGGUGAUCAAAUCCCAGCUCAGCCCUGCUAAGCACCUCAGUGUGACAUGUGAGUCAGGGCUGGAUCUAAAGCUCCUGUUGGGAUUUACAAUCCCUGCUGUCCUGGUUCUCGGUGUGGUGCUUUAUCUGCUGGGAAAGAAAGGAAACGUGUCCAUGCCUCUGAUCACAUCGUCUAACUGCCUUUCAGCCAUGUCUCUCCCAAGGAAUCAAAGGGAACGAGUCCAGCGUGACACCAGUAACCCUUAUGAAGAUGAUAUUCACUACGCCUCAGUGGAUUGGCUGGGAAGCUCCAGGCAACCACCACCCCAGAGAGAAGAGACAUCAACAUACGCGGACAUCACUCUGCAGCAGGACAGAUGUCAUUAAUGCUCCACUUGCUGAAAUGUAGGACUCGUCAGUGUGCAGCUGCAUCACAGAACGUCCCAAAAUCAGAGGCAACUGUAGGGGCCAUGCAGCAAGAAAAUGGGGGACCUUCUCUGGGGCCACAGCUGGACAAUGCACAGUGCCCGAAGUGAUGCAUGAAAAAAUGUUUCUGCUGAACAAAAUUGGGGAAAAUAACCAAACUCUAUAUUCCUACGCCCUGACUCUUUAUAUCGACAGCUCCGCUCUGAAGUCCACUCAGUGCUGUUUAGAGAUUCCACUGCCAACCCAAAGUGUACAAAAAUCAUAAGGAAGGCCCUCCAAAAUCCCAAGAUUGUGUUUCAAUUCAUGGAAUUUUUUUUAAAUGUGAUUUUUGUAGCCUUUUAUUUGCCUUCUGGUG